AUUACACCACGUGCCUGCUGCAUCUUAUUGACGUUUCCAAUAAGAGCGUCGGGCAAGGCCUUCAUGAGAGAUUCCAGCAGAAGGCAUUGUUGUCCUAGGAGGUGACAGCUCCGUUUUUAGACUAUAGAGUAAAAGUGGCUAUGCCGGGAGGCUGACUGGAGGACCUCACUUUGUAUGGCGUUUGCCUAAGCUCUUCUCUUUAUUAUCUUCAGAAUGAAAAGAUGGUGAGCAGAAAGGUCAGUAUGGCUAGCAACUGCUGACGGGAUGAAUAGUGUGAUUUGGUCAAAGCUGUCAACCUUUAUAACAUCUUCCGUUCACUGCUUAAGAUUUGGGGAGGGAAUUGAUCUGUUCAAUCUUUUGUAUACCAAUUAAAAUGCACCUUUAUGGGGGUCUUUGAUCCAUUUUUUUCUAAUAUGUUUCUAAUAUAUCCCCUAAAUAGCCUGUAUUAUCAAAUUAAAUGUCUCCAUUAUGAUGA